rnacentral:tRNA from 1 species
UAGUUAUUAAUUUAAUUAAAAUAUUAAUCUUGUAAAUUAAAAAUGAUUUUUUCAAUCAUAACUAA